rnacentral:rRNA from 1 species
UACAGAGGUGGCAAGCGUUGCUCGGUAUCACUGGGCUUAAAGGGCGCGUAGGCGGUGCGGUACGGUUUCGGUGAAAUCCCUCGGCCCAACCGAGGAACAGCCGGGGCUACGGCCGUGCUAGACGGCAUCAGGGGACAGUGGAACUUCCGGUGGAGCGGUGAAAUGCGUAGAUAUCGGAAGGAACGCCGGUGGCGAAAGCGACUGUCUGGGGUGCCUGUGACGCUGAGGCGCGAAAGCCAGGGGAGCGAACGGG